rnacentral:lncRNA from 1 species
AAAAACACAAUUGUGACAAAAAAGAAGUAGCUUGCUCUUGCUGGAACAUUCAGAUACUGGAGUAAUUCAGUACAUUACAUUGCUCAAUCACAAAUAUAUCUGAUGAUAUUUGUGCUACAAGUAAGUUUCUGUUACUACUAAUUUCGAGAAUCACAAAUAUUUUCCUGAAAAUGCAAAGCCACAACAAAGUAGUUCAAUGCAAUCAGCAAUCAUAUUAGCAACAGCAUCAGAUUAGCAACAGGCCUCUUAAAUCUUAAUCCUAUAUUUUGUGGAGGGAGAUCAUCAUCAAUUCCCCAGGCAGUUCUCUUCCCAAACCACAGCAAUUAUCAUAUCAUGAGCAAUUCAAAGUUUGACCCUGCAAAGGAUGGCGGCAUGGUUGACAUUAGCAAUUGCAUAUCAGGAUUUGAUAAAGAAAAAAAGGAGAGUGAGCUCUACUUUGCUCAAAUGAAUUAAACUCCAAGAAAUAUUCAGCUACUGAGUAGCUUACUCACCAGAGUUUUUUUAGUGUGUUGCUGCAUAAACAUGAGAUAGAAAAGGAACGCUAUAAUGCGAAAAUACAUGUGUUUUUAAAGCCAUGUGAUAAACAACUACUGCAAACAUGGCAGAAACCAAUCAGACCAAAGUAAAUAUGGAGCUCUUGAAUCCUGCAAUUUUAAGUGAUAAACAAAUGAAGUAAGCAGAUUCAUCUCCUCCAUCAUCAACAAGUGGCUAACGAGCAGUUUUUUUUUUUGGGAGAACAAAAGUGCACAGUUGCAUCACCUCCUGCUCAGAGUUCAGACAGACAUCUUAUUGAGCAGGCCUGACCACCACAAUGAUUUUCAUUUUUGUUCAGAAUAUAGUAAUGACACCAGAAAGUAAAUAGCAAUGGCCCUAUACUACAUAACAUAGAAAAACUAUGUUAUGAAUAAAAUUUUCAUAUACAUGUUCUAAAAAUCAAAAAAAAGAAAAAUAAACUAUAAUAAAAAACAUAAACAGAGAUGGAGUUGUCUUCUACUUUUCAACUUCGAGAGGUUUCAGACUUAUGAGUUGUGUGAUGGACAGCAAAGCUGGCGAGCUGCCGGCCUGGUCAGGUCCCGUCCACCAUUGAUGAUCACCAUUGAUGAUAAUUGAAGAAAAAACAUAGGUUGCCAACUUAUAUGAUUACCAAAUCAAGAACAGGAUCAUAAACCUAGGUCACAACACUAACCAAAACCCUAGAAAAAAAAUGAGGAGAAGAAGAACGGGCUGACCUCAGAUCUCGAAGAGGAAGGCGUGGAUGAGGAGGAGGGCGUCAUUUGUGAAGGUUGCGGGGGAGACUCGUUGCCGGCGGUGUGGGGGAGAGAGAGGGGUGGGGGGAAGAGGUGACGGCGGCAACCUCAUGAGAGCUGGAGGCAGAGCCGAGGCGAAGGCAGAUGCGGAGGUGGCGGUGACGGUGUCUCACGAGAGCAGGAGGCAGAGCGGCGGCAUCGCGAGAGGGGGAGGUAGAGGCGAUGGCCACUGGAGGCGGAGGCGACGACCUCGCACGGGAAAACGCGAGGGGAUCUUUCCCCCGAUGGCGAGAGGCGUGACUUUUCCCCCCUCAGAUCCCACGCGGAUCAGGCUGGAAACUUCCUCGCUCGUGAGCUUCCAAACGUGCGAAAAAAUUGGCCCGUGAAAAAUAACUCGUGGGAUGGCCACCCAGGGAAUAGGCCAGGAUCCCGGGUUGCCAAACAAGGCCUAAGGGACAAGAGGAG